AUGUAUAACUCGUACAUGCCAGCUCCUUCGCCCCGUCCGCACCCACCUGACGACUAAUCGCUACGUUGUGUCAGCC
rnacentral:sRNA from 1 species